GACUAUUCAUCUUUAGGAAGACAGGUGUUUUGAAAGCACCUAAAAAGUGUUCGAAUCACUUAAUAGUCU
rnacentral:tRNA from 1 species